AUUGAACGCUGGCGGCAGGCCUAACACAUGCAAGUCGAGCGGCAGCGGGGAAGUAGCUUGCUACUUUUGCCGGCGAGCGGCGGACGGGUGAGUAAUGCCUGGGGAUCUGCCCAGUCGAGGGGGAUAACUACUGGAAACGGUAGCUAAUACCGCAUACGCCCUACGGGGGAAAGCAGGGGACCUUCGGGCCUUGCGCGAUUGGAUGAACCCAGGUGGGAUUAGCUAGUUGGUGAGGUAAUGGCUCACCAAGGCGACGAUCCCUAGCUGGUCUGAGAGGAUGAUCAGCCACACUGGAACUGAGACACGGUCCAGACUCCUACGGGAGGCAGCAGUGGGGAAUAUUGCACAAUGGGGGAAACCCUGAUGCAGCCAUGCCGCGUGUGUGAAGAAGGCCUUCGGGUUGUAAAGCACUUUCAGCGAGGAGGAAAGGUUGGUAGCUAAUAACUGCCAGCUGUGACGUUACUCGCAGAAGAAGCACCGGCUAACUCCGUGCCAGCCGCCGCCGUAAAAC
rnacentral:rRNA from 1 species